GAUCCUGGCUCAGGAUGAACGCUAGCUACAGGCUUAACACAUGCAAGUCGAGGGGCAGCAUGGUCUUAGCUUGCUAAGGCUGAUGGCGACCGGCGCACGGGUGAGUAACACGUAUCCAACCUGCCGUCUACUCUUGGCCAGCCUUCUGAAAAGGAAGAUUAAUCCAGGAUGGCAUCAUGAGUUCACAUGUCCGCAUGAUUAAAGGUAUUUUCCCGGUAGACGAUGGGGG
rnacentral:rRNA from 1 species